rnacentral:rRNA from 1 species
CGGCGGACGGCUGAGUAACGCGUGGGAACAUGCCCCAAAGUGAGGAAUAACUGCCCGAAAGGGUAGCUAAUGCCGCAUAUGAUCUUCGGAUUAAAGGAUUUAUCCGCUUUGGGAGUGGCCCGCGUACGAUUAGGUAGUUGGUGAGGUAAAGGCUCACCAAGCCGACGAUCGUUAACUGGUCUGAGAGGAUGAUCAGUCAGACUGGAACUGAGACACGGUCCAG